CCCAUCUCUUUCAGAAUUUUCCACAGUUUAUUGUGAUCCACACAGUCAAAGGCUUUGGCAUAGUCAAUAAAGCAGAAAUAGAUGUUUUUCUGGAACUCUCUUGCUUUUCAAUGAUCCAGCGGAUGUUGGCAAUUUGAUCUCCUCUGCCUUUUCUAAAACCAGCUUGAACAUCAGGGAGUUCACGGUUCAUGUAUUGCUGAAGCCUGGCUUGGAGAAUUUUGAGCAUUACUUUACUAGCAUGUGAGAUGAGUGCAAUUGUACAGUAGUUUGAGCAUUCUUUGGCAUUGCCUUUCUUUGGAAUUAGGAUGAAAACUGACCUUUUCCAGUCCUGUGGCCACUGCUGAGUUUUCCAAAUUUGCUGGCAUAUUGAGUGCAGCACUUUCACACCAUCAUCUUUCAGGAUUUGAAACAGCUCCACUGAAUAGUGAUGUUUUCUAAGGCCCACUUGACUUCACUUUCCAAGAUGUCUGGCUCUAGAUUAGUGAUCACAUCAUCAUGAUUAUCUUGGUCGUGAAGAUCUUUUUUGUACAGUUCUUCCAUGUAUUCUUGCCACCUCUUCUUAAUAUCUUCUGCUUCUGUUAGGUCCAUUCCAUUUCUGCCCUUUAUCGAACCCAUCUUUGUAUGAAAUGUUCCCUUGGUAUCUCUAAUUUUCUUGAAGAGAUCUCUAGUCUUUCCCAUUCUGUUGUUUUCCUCUCUUUCUUUGCAUUGAUUGCUAAAGAAGGCUUUCUUAUCUCUUCUUGCUAUUCUUUGGAACUCUGCAUUCAGAUGCUUAUAUCUUUCCUUUCCUCCUUUGCUGUUCGCCUCUCUUCUUUUCACAGCUAUUUGUAAGGCCUCCCCAGACAGCCAUUUUGCUUUUUUGCAUUUCUUUUCCAUGAGGAUGGUCUUGAUCCCUGUCUCCUCUACUAUGUCACGAACCUCAUUCCAUAGUUCAUCAGGCACUCUAUCAGAUCUAGGCCCUUAAAUCUAUCUCUCACUUCCACUGUAUAAUUAUAAGAGAUUUGAUUUAGGUCAUAUCUGAAUGGUCUAGUGAUUUUCCCUACUUUCUUCAAUUUAAGUCUGAAUUUUGCAAGAAGGAAUUCAUGAUCUGAGCCAUGAUGAGCUCCCGGUCUUGUUUUUGCUGACUGUAUAGAGCUUCUCCAUCUUCAGCUGCAAAGAAGAUAAUCCAUCUGAUUUCGCUAUUGACCAUCUGGUGAUGUCCGUGUGUAGAGUUGUCUCUUGUGUUGUGGCAGGAGGGUGUUUGCUAUGACCAAUGUGUUCUCUUGAGAAAAUUCUGUUAGCCUUUGCCCUGCUUCAUUUUUGUAUUCCAAGGCCAAACGUGCCUGUUACUCUGGGUAUCUGUUGACUUCCCACUUUUGCAUUCCAGUCCCCUUUAAUGCAAAGGACAUCUUUUUUGGUGUUAGUUCUAGAAGGUCUUGUAGGUCCUCAUAGAACCACCCAACUGCAGCUUCUUCAGCCUUAGUGGUUGGAGCAUUAGACUUGGAUUACUGUGAUGCUGAAUAAUUUGCCUUGGAAAUGAACAGAGAUCAUUCUGUCAUUUUUGAAAUUGCAUGCAAGUACUGCAUUUCAGAUUCUUUUGUUGACUAUGAGGGCUACUCCAUUUCUUCUAAGGGAUUCUUGCCCACAGUGUCUGAAUUAAAUUCACCCAUUCUGGUCCAUUUUAUUUCAUUUUCAUUUUAAAAUGUUUGUUCAUUCUUGCCAUCUCCUGUUUGAUCACUUCCAAUUUACCUCAGUUCAUUUCAGGUUCCUAUGCAAUAUUGUUCUUUACAGCAUCUGAUUUUACUUCCAUCACCAGUCACAUCCAUAGCUGGGCAUUGUUUUCGCUUUGGUUCAGCCUCUUCAUUCUUCUUGGAGUUAUUUCUCCACUCUUCUCCAGGGGCUAUGUACCUACCAACCUGGCGAGUUUCCAAUUAUAAGAUGAGUAAAUUCUGGGACUCUUUAAGUGCAACAUGUGACUGUAGUAAGCAAUACUGUAUUAUAUACUUCAGAGUUGCUUGGAGAGUAGAUCUUAAGUAUUCUCACUACAUACAUGCACUAAUCCUAACCACUGGACUGCCUGGGAAUUCCCAGUAGUAAAACACCUUUUAAGUAAUAGCGAGAUUUUUUAACAUUAACGUAUGACUUGCUUGUUGUUGUUGUUGUUGUUCCAUUUCCCCUCGUCAAAUAUUUAAGAAUCUUGUUUUUCUUUUCUAUAGAAUAGAAAGACCUGUUUUAAUGUUAUCAUCUAUUCAGUCCAUUUCAG
ensembl:lncRNA